rnacentral:snRNA from 1 species
GAUCAAAGUGUAGUAUCUGUUCUUAUCAGCUUAAUAUCUGAUACGUUGUACAUUGUACAACUAUGAUAUUAAACUGAUUUUUGGAACUGGGAGAAGAUUCAGGGGCUUGCUCCGACUUCUCCACGGGUUGGCC